rnacentral:rRNA from 1 species
AUUGAACGCUGGCGGCAGGCCUAACACAUGCAAGUCGAACGAGUGGCGGACGGGUGAGUAAUGUCUGGGAAACUGCCUGAUGGAGGGGGAUAACUACUGGAAACGGAAGCUAAUACCGCAUACCAUCGGAUGUGCCCAGAUGGGAUUAGCUAGUAGGUGGGGUAACGGCUCACCUAGGCGACGCUCCCUAGCUGGUCUGAGAGGAUGACCAGCCAUCCUGGAACUGAGACACGGUCAAGACUCCUACGGGAGUCGGCAGUGGGGAAUAUUGCACAACGGGCGCAAGCCUGAUGCAGCCAUGCCGCGUGUAUGAAGAAGGCCCUCGGUUUGUAAAGUACUUUCAGCGGGGAGGCGUUACCCGCAGAAGAAGAACCGGCUAACUCCGUGCCAGCAGCCGCGGUAAUUC